GUUCCGUCGGCCUUCUGUGCUCACAGCAGGCGUUGUGUUCACAGCAGGCGUUCUGCUGAGCAACGCAGCGCCGCUGCGAAUGGUCGACGUGCGCGUUUCGGAUCAGUCCUGCCGAUGAACUAAGGACUGCUGUUAAUCAGAAAGGAAAGCGUAAUUACCUACAGAGACGUGUGGCUGGCAAGUGGAAGAAUCCUUCUGUUUGUAGACAACUGCAGUUUCACUCCAGUACCCUGCAUAAAGAGAAGAAAAAAAAGCCAGUUUACAAUCGUGACCUUGGAACUGAGAAGUAGGCAGACAGUGAUGACAACAUCCAUUUUACGGUCAGAAUACUUCUGUGCCUCACCCGAGCUCCAUUUCUGCUGGGAGGCAGGAUCUGGUGGCCUCUGCCUCUUUCCACACUGCUGCGUUUCUUCACAAGCGAUUUCCCCUCGUGGCACAGUGACAGGUAUUGUAUGAAGCCCAGUGGAGCUGUGAGAUUGUAGCUUGAUUUUUUUAACAGCUUUCUCAACCAUGCCUGCUCUGCUGAGCAUUGUUGCUUUCCUGCUACUCAACGGAGCGUGAGCAGUAAGGGCCAGACAGCAAAGCACACAGCCACCACAGGCAGCUUCAGCCUCUUCUUCUGCCUACAGAGGCUGCAAUUACACUGUAUUCCCAUGUGGUCUGUUCAUACAAUUUGCUUCAAUACAUGUAAAUAGCAACCAGCUACCGUGGGUAUGAUGAUAUCAGGUACUAAAAAUAUACUGAAAUGGCUUUUGGACUUAUUGCUGCAUACUAGAAAGGAAAUUCAUCCCCUGAAUUAAUUUUAUUCCUUACAAUCACUGCAAAAUUUAUAAGAAUAUGAAAAAGAUCUUUAAACAAAGUCGUUAAAGUGUGAAGUCAAAGACAAUGUGAACAACAGGGUACUCAUUUAUCUUCCCUAACCCAUGCUGUCCUAACAGGCAGGAGAUCAGAAGCAGGAUUUACAAGCUCUAGGCCUGUUUUGUUUCUGUCUGCUAUUGACCUUGUGCAGACCACUGAAAUGCUUCUAGAGAGUCCUGCAAAGAAUCCAGUGAUAUUUUAAUGAUUACUCUCCCUCUUUCCUCUUUCCUGACUUCAUUAAACUGUUGUGGCUUUUUAU
rnacentral:lncRNA from 7 species